AACGAACGCUUGCGGCAUGCCUAACACAUGCAAGUCGAACGAGAUCUUCGGGUCUAGUGGCGCACGGGUGCGUAACGCGUGGGAAUCUGCCCUUUGGUUCGGAAUAACAGUUGGAAACGACUGCUAAUACCGGAUGAUGACGAAAGUCCAAAGAUUUAUCGCCAGAGGAGGAGCCCGCGUAGGAUUAGCUAGUUGGUGUGGUAAAGGCGCACCAAGGCGACGAUCCUUAGCUGGUCUGAGAGGAUGAUCAGCCACACUGGGACUGAGACACGGCCCAGACUCCUACGGGAGGCAGCAGUGGGGAAUAUUGGACAAUGGGCGAAAGCCUGAUCCAGCAAUGCCGCGUGAGUGAUGAAGGCCUUAGGGUUGUAAAGCUCUUUUACCCGGGAUGAUAAUGACAGUACCGGGAGAAUAAGCUCCGGCUAACUCCGUGCCAGCCGCCGCGGUAA
rnacentral:rRNA from 1 species